UACGUAGGGGGCGAGCGUUGUCCGGAUUUACUGGGCGUAAAGGGUGCGUAGGCGGUUCGUUAAGUCUGUCGUGAAAUCCCCGGGCUCAACCUGGGAAUGGCGAUGGAUACUGGCGAGCUAGAGUGUGUCAGAGGAUGGUGGAAUUCCCGGUGUAGCGGUGAAAUGCGUAGAGAUCGGGAGGAACAUCAGUGGCGAAGGCGGCCAUCUGGGACAACACUGACGCUGAAGCACGAAAGCGUGGGGAGCAAACAGG
rnacentral:rRNA from 1 species